AUUCGGAACAAUCCAUCCAAAAAUUAGUCCUGGAUACUUGAAAAUAUAAAUUUAGUUAGUCUAUAAUCCAAUAUUCAUGAUAGCCGAAUCACGGUAUCUCAUAAGAUUUUAGGUCAAUCUUUCGAACACGCCCUUAUACUAGUUGCAUGCACAAGUAUAUGGAAAUGGGAUUAGAAACCAAUACGUUGCAUAAAAUUCAUAUGCAGACAUGAUAAUAUCCGCAUGAACAACAUAUAAGGGCACCAGGCACCUCAGAUACUUUUGCAUAUAUACUACUCAUAUGGCAAAGCAUACCACAUAGAAAUGACAAUGUACUGAGACUUCAAACUUGAAAACAAGGCUCACAUAAAAGUUAUGUGAUCACAUAACUUUGAUGUGGACAAUCAACCGCAUCGGUAAAAUAUGCAGACAUGAGGCACACUUAGAGGCCAGUGCAUAAACAUUUCAUACGGGAC
rnacentral:lncRNA from 1 species